CAUUGUCGAGACCCACAAGAGAAUGAGCAAAUCUGAUAACAUGUAAACUAUAAAUAAGGUGGCUGCAAAAUUUGUCACCACUCUUUCGUCCCUCUACAAUGUCUCCUUUAUUGGAUUCAUGGUAGAAGUAUCGACUGAAAAAAAAAUCGGCACAGCGCUGUGCCAAGGGAUAUGUAUAAUAAAGUGACUAUGACACAUCCUCAAAUCUUAAUCGAUUUUAGGAGAGUGUUAUUGCUACUUUUUAUAGAUUGUAUGACUCCCGACAAUGGAUAUCUUGGCUCUUGCAUCGAUGAAGAGCGCAGCGAAAUGCGAUACGUGGUGCGAAUUGCAGAAUCCCGUGAACCAUCGAGUUUUUGAACGCAAGUUGCGCCCAAAGCUAUCUAGCUGAGGGCACGUCCGCCUGGGUGUCAUGUAUUAUGUCGCUCCUCUAUCAUUAUCCGUCAAUAUGUUGUGAUGUUGGUAGUUAGGAUGUGGAAAUUGACUCGUCGUGCAUGUUUUUUUGUGUGGCGGGCUAAAGUUCUAUUUUCCUUACUCUUUGACAUGGUUGAUAAGGGGUGGAUAGAAGGAGCCAGUUGGCCCAUUUCUUCACAAUCAUACCAUUACUUUGAGGAUGGAAAGCUAACACUCUAGGGGCAUACCUAACUCUAAUAUAGGUGGUGCCAUCCUUAAAUGCGACCCCAGGAUGGGCGGGAU
rnacentral:rRNA from 1 species